UACGUAGGGUGCGAGCGUUAAUCGGAAUUACUGGGCGUAAAGCGUGCGCAGGCGGUGGUGUAAGACCGAUGUGAAAUCCCCGGGCUCAACCUGGGAAUGGCAUUUGGGACUGCAAGGCUGGAGUGCGGCAGAGGAGACUGGAAUUCCUGGUGUAGCAGUGAAAUGCGUAGAUAUCAGGAGGAAUACCGAUGGCGAAGGCAGGUCUCUGGGCUGACACUGACGCUCAUGCACGAAAGCGUGGGGAGCAAACAGG
rnacentral:rRNA from 1 species